rnacentral:rRNA from 1 species
CUUCUUUUUCCACCGGAGCUUGCUCCCCGGAAAAAGAGGAGUGGCGAACGGGUGAGUAACACGUGGGUAACCUGCCCAUCAGAAGGGGAUAACACUUGGAAACAGGUGCUAAUACCGUAUAACAAUCAAAACCGCAUGGUUUUGAUUUGAAAGGCGCUUUCGGGUGUCGCUGAUGGAUGGACCCGCGGUGCAUUAGCUAGUUGGUGAGGUAACGGCUCACCAAGGCCACGAUGCAUAGCCGACCUGAGAGGGUGAUCGGCCACAUUGGGACUGAGACACGGCCCAAACUCCUACGGGAGGCAGCAGUAGGGAAUCUUCGGCAAUGGACGAAAGUCUGACCGAGCAACGCCGCGUGAGUGAAGAAGGUUUUCGGAUCGUAAAACUCUGUUGUUAGAGAAGAACAAGGAUGAGAGUAACUGUUCAUCCCUUGACGGUAUCUAACCAGAAAGCCACGGCUAACUACGUGCCAGCAGCCGCGGUAAUACGUAGGUGGCAAGCGUUGUCCGGAUUUAUUGGGCGUAAAGCGAGCGCAGGCGGUUUCUUAAGUCUGAUGUGAAAGCCCCCGGCUCAACCGGGGAGGGUCAUUGGAAACUGGGAGACUUGAGUGCAGAAGAGGAGAGUGGAAUUCCAUGUGUAGCGGUGAAAUGCGUAGAUAUAUGGAGGAACACCAGUGGCGAAGGCGGCUCUCUGGUCUGUACUGACGCUGAGCUCGAAGCGUGGGGAGCAACAGAU